UACGUAGGGGGCAAGCGUUGUCCGGAUUUAUUGGGCGUAAAGAGCGUGUAGGCGGCCAGACAGGUCCGCUGUGAAAACUCGAGGCUCAACCUCGAGAUGUCGGUGGAAACCGUCUGGCUAGAGUCCGGAAGAGGAGAGUGGAAUUCCCGGUGUAGCGGUGAAAUGCGCAGAUAUCGGGAAGAACACCCGUGGCGAAGGCGGCUCUCUGGGACGGUACUGACGCUGAGACGCGAAAGCGUGGGGAGCGAACAGG
rnacentral:rRNA from 1 species